rnacentral:rRNA from 1 species
ACACUCCUACGGGAGGCAGCAGUGGGGAAUAUUGCACAAUGGGCGCAAGCCUGAUGCAGCCAUGCCGCGUGUAUGAAGAAGGCCUUCGGGUUGUAAAGUACUUUCAGCGGGGAGGAAGGCGAUAAGGUUAAUAACCUUGUUGAUUGACGUUACCCGCAGAAGAAGCACCGGCUAACUCCGUGCCAGCAGCCGCGGUAAUACGGAGGGUGCAAGCGUUAAUCGGAAUUACUGGGCGUAAAGCGCACGCAGGCGGUCUGUCAAGUCGGAUGUGAAAUCCCCGGGCUCAACCUGGGAACUGCAUUCGAAACUGGCAGGCUAGAGUCUUGUAGAGGGGGGUAGAAUUCCAGGUGUAGCGGUGAAAUGCGUAGAGAUCUGGAGGAAUACCGGUGGCGAAGGCGGCCCCCUGGACAAAGACUGACGCUCAGGUGCGAAAGCGUGGGGAGCAAACAGGAUUAGAUACCCGAGUAGUCCC